rnacentral:rRNA from 1 species
AGCGAUCGCUGGCGGCAGGCCUAUAACAUGCAAGCCGAGCUCCGUAGCAAUACGGAGCCGCAGACGGGAGAGUAACACGUGGGAACGUCCCCUUUGGUUAGGAACAACCCAGGGAAACGUGGGCUAAUACCGGAAAAGCCCUUACGGGGAAAGAUUCAUCGCCGAAUGAUCGGACCGCUUCUGAUGAGCUAGUUGGUGUGGUAAUGGCCCACCAAAGCGACGAUCAGUAGCUGGUAUGAGAGGAUGAGCAGCUCACACUGGAAGGGAGAGGAGGCCCGGAAUCCAAAGGGAGGCAGCAGUGGGGAAUAGUGGACAAUGGGCGCAAGCCUGAUCCAGCCAUGCCGCGUGGGUGAUGAAGGCCCUAGGGUUGUAAAGCCCUUUCGGCGGGGAAGAUAAUGACGGUACCCGCAGAAGAAGCCCCGGCUAACUUCGUGCCAGCCGCCGCCGUAA